AUGGAACCUCGGCAAGGGAUGACCACAACCGUACUAACUGAUGAUUUAGUGGUGGAGAUCUUGUCUCGGUUACCGCUGAAGUCUUUUUGCCAUUUCAAAUGUGUCUCCAAGUCUUGGCUUGUCUUCUCAUCUGAUCUGCACUACCGCCAGAAGCUCCCCAGAACUCUCGUCGGUCUCCUGUACCAAAAAAGAGAGCAUGACACUACUAUUCAUCUUGUGGGACUUCCCUCAAGUGACAGGGAUAUUGACACAACACUUGGCUUUGUACAAUGUUAUGAGCAUCCCUUAGAGCUUAAGGAUUGCAGCAAUGGACUACUUCUUUGUUAUCAAGGUGGUAUGCCCUCGAAAGAAGUCUCCGACGCCAUCGUGUGCAAUCCAGCAACUCAAGAGUGGAUGGCACUUCCAGAUACUGAACCUGGACCAGCCGUCUGUUAUGCCAGUUACAAGUUGUGUUUUGAUCCAUUGUGGUCUCAAUACUUCUAUGUCUUCAAAUUUGAGUCAAGUCCAAGUGGUGGAUAUGACAUUGUAGUUAAGGUAUUUUUCUCUGAGUAUUCGACAUGGUCUAAUUGUGUAUGGGAAACUUCAGAUAUAUUUUUUGGCGAUUCACUCUUCGUAAAUGGGGUGUUGUAUGUGCAACACUUAUGGGGACAUUACCUUCUGGCACUCGAUGCACCUGACACAUGCACAGAGUUGCUCAAUCAUAGGACCUUUCAGUUGCCAGGGUUUCCAUAUGGACCAGAACAGAGGUUUUAUUGCUUUGAUGGCUGUCUUCCAGUCAUCUGGGGUCUUAUGUUAUGCACAACAAGAAUUGGAUGGUUCCAUGAUCCGAAUUUGGAGUUUGGAAGGAUCUGA
rnacentral:rRNA from 1 species